CAGAGGGGGCGAGCGUUAUUCGGAAUUAUUGGGCGUAAAGGGCGCGUAGGCGGCCUUUCAAGUGACGGGUGAAAUCCCUCGGCUUAACCGAGGAACUGCCUGUCAGAUUGGAAGGCUUGAGACCGGGAGAGGUGAGUGGAAUUCCCAGUGUAGCGGUGAAAUGCGUAGAUAUUGGGAGGAACACCAGUGGCGAAGGCGGCUCACUGGACCGGUACUGACGCUGAGGCGCGAAAGCGUGGGGAGCAAACAGGAUUAGAUACCCUGGUAGUCCACGCCGUAAACGAUGAGUGCUUGGUGUAGCGGGUAUCGACCCCUGCUGUGCCGAAGUCAACACAUUAAGCACUCCGCCUGGGGAGUACGGUCGCAAGACUG
rnacentral:rRNA from 1 species